UACGUAGGGGGCAAGCGUUGUCCGGAAUCAUUGGGCGUAAAGAGCGCGUAGGCGGCCCAGUAAGUCCGCUCUGAAAGCCCGGGGCUCAACCCCGGGAGGCGGGUGGAUACUGUCUAGCUCGAGUCCGGAAGAGGAGUGUGGAAUUCCUGGUGUAGCGGUGAAAUGCGCAGAUAUCAGGAGGAACACCAAUGGCGAAGGCAGCACUCUGGGACGUGACUGACGCUGAGACGCGAAAGCAUGGGGAGCGAACAGG
rnacentral:rRNA from 1 species